ensembl:lncRNA
UUCCCUUCGGACACAGAUUUGUUUUUUGGACAGCCUUCUGAUUUCCCCGCUGGUAGGGAAGCUGAUCAUCGUGCGCAUUCGAGGGCAGCUUUGACCCUUCUCAUACAAACAUCACAUUUACCAGAUACGUUGGACAGCACCAAAUCCAAGACUUUUAAUUUUCUCUUUUUACGUAAUUUGUCAGUAUGUUGACAUGAUGGUAACCACCACAGUCUACAGCCCCGUCACAUGUCCUAACAGAAGCUCAUCUCUGCUGCUGUUAAACCCCAAAUCCUCUGAUUUAGCUGCUGCCCCCUCCUUUCUUUCUGAUUCCCAUUUAAAGUUGCACUGUAGAAAACAUGCUGUUUUGAAAGGGAAAACCGUCAAGAUGGACUGUGCAAUGUAAUCAAAGCUUUGGAAAUGCCAGCUUUAAUGUUGCAGUUCAGAUAAUUUAAUUCAUCUUCCACUUCAGUUUGUGUGCCAAGACUGGAAUGCCUGUUUCUCUAGUAAUGUGUUCAAGAAUGUACUGCAGAUACAUUGGCUGACAUGUUUGUCAAAUAUCCAGCUGAAUAUCACUUAAUGGAAGUUUCUGUUAAGCAGGUAGAGAAAGUGGUCACCUGUUUGUAGUAGACUGUAGUUAAAAGUAAGGGACUAUAAAGUCAAAUUUCUUUUCGUGAAUGUUACAGUAUUUGCAACGUUGGGCAAGUGGCUGUUCUGAAGCAGUUUUCCUGACUCCUGUUUCUGGUAUUAUUGUUCUUUUCCUGCAGGGAGAAAAUUGCUUGAGUCUGAUGUGGUUUCACCAUCAUCUGAAAUGGUCAUUGUUGUGCGUGUGGUUUUCACCUACUGUAUAUGGAGAAGCUUUUUUUUUUUUUUUUUUUUUUUUUUUUUUUGCUCAGAUUGCUGUCAUUGGCUUCUUGAAAAAUGUUGUGAAAAUUACAGUUUAGUCAGUUGUUUGUUCAACUGAUUGUUGAAAGUAUAGCAAAGUGUUUUUGUUUGUUUUUUGUUUUCUAUGCCCACAGUCACUGUUCUGUUUUCCCCCAGGUCUGACCUUGGCUGCGCUCUCGCUCUGUGAGGUUUACAAGGAAUAAACUUUUUUUUUUCUUGCAAACUGACUUUUCCCUGCUUGUUGCUGUUUGACAGUGUAUCCACAAAUACCUGAAAACUUGACAGCUUUAUAAGUUCACGUAGUGUUUGUCAUUAUAGUUAUUUCAGCUUUCAGUUGAGACCUCAAGUGUUAGAUCUGUAAGGCUGCUCUAGCCUUGAGGUGCAUGAUGG